rnacentral:rRNA from 1 species
AUUGAACGCUGGCGGCAGGCUUAACACAUGCAAGUCGAGCGGAGAGAGGUAGCUUGCUACUGAUCUUAGCGGCGGACGGGUGAGUAAUGCUUAGGAAUCUGCCUAUUAGUGGGGGGACAACAUUUCGAAAGGAAUGCUAAUACCGCAUACGUCCUACGGGAGAAAGCAGGGGAUCUUCGGACCUUGCGCUAAUAGAUGAGCCUAAGUCGGAUUAGCUAGUUGGUGGGGUAAAGGCCUACCAAGGCGACGAUCUGUAGCGGGUCGGAGAGGAUGCUCUGCCACACUGGGACGUAGAUACGGCCAAGACUCCUACGGGAGGCAGCAGUGGGGAUUAUUGGACAAUGGGCGCAAGCCUGAUCCAGCCAUGCCGGAUGUGUGAAGAAGGCCUUAUGGUUGUAAAGCACGUUAAGCGAGGAGGAGGCUACUUUAGUUAAUACCUAGAGAUAGUGGACGUUACUCGCAGAAUAAGCACCGGCUAACUCUGUGCCAGCCGCCGCAGGAA